rnacentral:rRNA from 1 species
CUACGGGUCGCUGCAGUGGGGAAUCUUAGACAAUGGGGGCAACCCUGAUCUAGCCAUGCCGCGUGAGUGAUGAAGGCCUUAGGGUCGUAAAGCUCUUUCGCCUGUGAUGAUAAUGACAGUAGCAGGUAAAGAAACCCCGGCUAACUCCGUGCCAGCAGCCGCGGUAAUACGGAGGGGGUUAGCGUUGUUCGGAAUUACUGGGCGUAAAGCGCGCGUAGGCGGAUUAGAAAGUUGGGGGUGAAAUCCCGGGGCUCAACCCCGGAACUGCCUCCAAAACUGCUAGUCUAGAGUUCGAGAGAGGUGAGUGGAAUUCCGAGUGUAGAGGUGAAAUUCGUAGAUAUUCGGAGGAACACCAGUGGCGAAGGCGGCUCACUGGCUCGAUACUGACGCUGAGGUGCGAAAGUGUGGGGAGCAAACAGGAUUAGAUACCCGAGUAGUC